rnacentral:rRNA from 1 species
GAUGAACGCUAGCGGCAGGCCUAACACAUGCAAGUCGAGGGGCAGCACGUGAAGUACUUCGGUACUUUUGGUGGCGACCGGGCGAACGGGUGCGUAACGCGUAUGCAACCUACCUUUUACAGGGGGAUAACGUUUGGAAACGAACACUAAUACCCCAUAACAUCGAUCACGGCAUCGUGGUUGGUUGAAAACUCCGGUGGUAAGAGAUGGGCAUGCGUUGUAUUAGGUAGUUGGUGAGGUAAUGGCUCACCAAGCCUACGAUACAUAGGGGGACUGAGAGGUUAGCCCCCCACACUGGUACUGAGACACGGACCAGACUCCUACGGGAGGCAGCAGUGAGGAAUAUUGGUCAAUGGGGGCAACCCUGAACCAGCCAUGCCGCGUGCAGGAAGACGGCUCUAUGAGUUGUAAACUGCUUUUAUACUGGGAUAAAUCUAUAUACGUGUAUAUAGUUGCAGGUACAGUAUGAAUAAGGAUCGGCUAACUCCGUGCCAGCAGCCGCGGUAAUACGGAGGAUCCAAGCGUUAUCCGGAUUUAUUGGGUUUAAAGGGUGCGUAGGCGGCUUUUUAAGUUAUAGGUGAAAUCUCACGGCUCAACCGUGAAAUUGCCUGUGAUACUGGAGAGCUAGCAAAUAGAUGCGGUAGGCGGAAUGUGUGGUGUAGCGGUGAAAUGCUUAGAUAUCACACAGAACACCGAUUGCGAANGGCAGCUUACCAAUCUAUAUUGGACGCUGAGGCACGAAAGCGUGGGUAGCAAACAGGAUUAGAUACCCUGGUAGUCCACGCAGUAAACGAUGAUAACUCGUUGUCGGCGAUAUACAGUCGGUGACCAAGCGAAAGCGAUAAGUUAUNCCACCUGGGGAGUACGUUUCGCAAGAAUGAAACUCAAAUGAAUUGACGGG